UCAAGUAAUUAAGUGCAUGUGGUGGAUGCCUUGGCAGUCAGAGGCGAUGAAAGACGUGAUAGCCUGCGAAAAGCUCCGGGGAGGCGGCAAAUAUCCUUUGAUCCGGAGAUGUCUGAAUGGGGGAACCCACCUACUUUAAGGUAGGUAUUGCAACAUGAAUACAUAGUGUUGCAAGGCGAACGAGGGGAAGUGAAACAUCUCAGUACCCUUAGGAAAAGAAAUCAAUUGAGAUUCCCUCAGUAGCGGCGAGCGAACGGGGAUCAGCCCAUUAAGUUAUGUGUGUUUUAGUGGAACGCUCUGGGAAGUGCGAACGUAGAGGGUGAUAUUCCCGUACACGAAAGGGCACACAUAAUGAUGACGAGUAGGGCGAGGCACGUGAAACCUUGUCUGAAUAUGGGGGGACCAUCCUCCAAGGCUAAAUACUCCUGACUGACCGAUAGUGAACCAGUACCGUGAGGGAAAGGCGAAAAGAACCCCUGUGAGGGGAGUGAAAUAGAUCCUGAAACCGCAUGCAUACAAGCAGUGGGAGCACCUUCGUGGUGUGACUGCGUACCUUUUGUAUAAUGGGUCAGCGACUUAUAUUCAGUAGCGAGGUUAACCGUAUAGGGGAGCCGUAGAGAAAUCGAGUCUUAAUAGGGCGUUUAGUUGCUGGGUAUAGACCCGAAACCAGGCGAUCUAUCCAUGAGCAGGUUGAAGGUUGGGUAACACUAACUGGAGGACCGAACCCACUGUCGUUGAAAAGCCAGGGGAUGACUUGUGGAUAGGGGUGAAAGGCUAAUCAAGCCUGGUGAUAGCUGGUUCUCCCCGAAAGCUAUUUAGGUAGCGCCUCGGACGAAUACCAUAGGGGGUAGAGCACUGUUUCGGCUAGGGGGUCAUCCCGACUUACCAAACCGAUGCAAACUCCGAAUACCUAUGAGUACUAUCCGGGAGACAGACUGCGGGUGCUAACGUCCGUAGUCAAGAGGAAAACAAUCCAGACCGCCAGCUAAGGCCCCAAAAUCAUAGUUAAGUGGGAAACGAUGUGGGAAGGCAUAGACAGCUAGGAGGUUGGCUUAGAAGCAGCCACCCUUUAAAGAAAGCGUAAUAGCUCACUAGUCGAGUCGGCCUGCGCGGAAGAUGUAACGGGGCUAAAACUAUGUGCCGAAGCUGCGGAUGUAUACUUUGUAUACGUGGUAGGGGAGCGUUCUGUAAGCCGAUGAAGGUGUGUUGAGAAGCAUGCUGGAGGUAUCAGAAGUGCGAAUGCUGACGUGAGUAACGACAAAACGGGUGAAAAACCCGUUCGCCGAAAGACCAAGGGUUCCAGUCCAACGUUAAUCGGGGCUGGGUGAGUCGACCCCUAAGGCGAGGCCGAAAGGCGUAGUCGAUGGGAAAAUGGUUAAUAUUCCAUUACUUCUGUGUAAUGCGAUGAGAGGACGGAGAAGGCUAAAUCAGCCUGGCGUUGGUUGUCCAGGUGAAAGGAUGUAGGCAUGUAUCUUAGGCAAAUCCGGGGUACUCUAUGCUGAGAUCUGAUAGCAAGCUGUACUUGUACAGCGAAGUGGUUGAUGCCAUGCUUCCAGGAAAAGUCUCUAAGCUUCAGUUACACAGGAAUCGUACCCGAAACCGACACAGGUGGUCAGGUCGAGUAGACCAAGGCGCUUGAGAGAACUCUGCUGAAGGAACUAGGCAAAAUGGUACCGUAACUUCGGGAGAAGGUACGCUGUUGUUGGUGAUGGAACUCGCUUCCUGAGCUGACGACAGCCGCAGAAACCAGGCCGCUGCAACUGUUUAUUAAAAACAUAGCACUCUGCAAACACGAAAGUGGACGUAUAGGGUGUGAUGCCUGCCCGGUGCUGGAAGGUUAAUUGAUGGGGUUAGCGUAAGCGAAGCUCUUGAUCGAAGCCCCAGUAAACGGCGGCCGUAACUAUAACGGUCCUAAGGUAGCGAAAUUCCUUGUCGGGUAAGUUCCGACCUGCAACGAAUGGCAUAAUGAUGGCGGCGGCUGU
rnacentral:rRNA from 1 species